rnacentral:lncRNA from 1 species
AACCUGAUUGGAGAGCUUGAUUAAAAUUGAGUUGCACCCGUGAGGUUUACAAAACAAUCUUUAGGGUUUAUGUGAGGCAGAGGUGAUUCUGUGCAGUUGAGUUCCCUUCAGGGUUUGGAGGUUGCUCUGAACUCUGUUAGCUCUUCUUUCACUAUCUUUUUCCCCAGGGUUUUGUUCCAAGGAAACCUCAGAGUGUUUUGCUUCUCUU